GUACUUGGAGCCACCUGAAUCCCUUCUUAUUUAAGCCAGCAGCUGGGUGAAUUACUUUAUUCAGGCCUUCACAGCUCAAGACCAUCUUCGCAGCAAGUUCACUGCCGGCUUAAACCAUGGGUACAAGAUCUGCAACCAAGUCCUUAUCGCCGGCAAGCUUUAUGUCACGAUGGCUCAGUUGAGGCUAAGGGAGAUUUGUGGACAGAAACUAAGAAGCUUUAUCAUAGUCUGAGUUUGAAAUCAGGCAAAAAUCAGUCGAGAACAACAAGGAGCUGUUGCCGUUGAACUGGGGGAUGAACUGAGUUGUUUGGAGUGGUAUUUCAGAAGUUCAAUGAGAAGAUGGGUUUGAGAUGAAGUUGCAAUUUGGCAGCAAGAUGGAGCGAGUUUGUAUGAAUUGAACCAAGACUGAGUUGAGUUGUUGCCAUUGAUCUUUAUGGCUGAAUGGGUGAUUCUGAGUAAUGAGAUCACGAUGAUAAUUUGUGAAUGAAUGUUUGGCUUGUAUGAAUUGCAGGGAAGGAUAUGGAAUAAUCUCGAAAUCAACAACAAAUGCAUCUCUGAAGCAACAGAAAACUGCACGUAAUGUUUUCGAUAAAAGGCCUGAACGACUAUUUCUCUACAGCUCCAAGUCAGUCCACGACCAGUUUUUCCAUCCAAGUCUGAACCACAACCAAGCUGUGCAGCUGCUCUAGCCAGGGUCCAAGGAGGGUUGAACGGAAGAGAUAUAGAGGUUAAUAGAGUUUAUACAAGAUGAGGAAAUUGGAGUUUGAAUGAAGAUAUAAAAGAAGACAAUCUCGACUGCUAGAAGGAUCAUCACAUACCCCCGUUACCAGCUGCCAACAACCCUAGUUUCAACGAGCUUUUGCUCGCUGAACAACCACCAUCUCACCUGCAUAUCCAUCUACUUCAUACACCAGCAUCAUCUCCUGCAUCCACAACAUACACCCAUCAUCUACAUUACCAUCUGCAUAACCUCCAUUUCGCAGUUAUACCAUCCCCAGUUCUGCAUAAUCCAUCCACCUGCAUACUAUCUACAGCAUCACCACUAUUACAUACUGCCUACAUCCUACCACCAACCGCAGCUGGAGUUCAGUUCAUCUUCCAUUCACCACAACAACUUCCAGUCAUCUACAGCACCAACAACAGUUGCAGUCCCCCCGUUCCACCAUCACCAGCAUACAGGCAGCAGGUAUCCAGGCGAUACAUCUCAAGCAGCAGCGGUUCUAUUUCUCCAUAACCAUUCCAUUAUCACCAGGCUAUACCGUCGCCAACACCAUCAGUCCACAAUCAACGUCACCUGCAGCUGUUUCGGUUUUGUAUUCCUGUUUUUAUUUGUUUGUUUGUUUCACCAUGAACUCCAGUAGCUAAUUGCAUUUGAUUAGGGACGAUUUCAACAUCCGAACAUGAUCCUCAAUUGAUAUUUAAACUGCCUGUUUUCUUGCAAUUAUCUUAUUAUUGUUCAUUCUCUACUGUGCCAAUAUUGCUUAUGAAUUAUUCUUGAAUCAUUUAAGUUGCAAAUUAGAUGGCUAAUUGAUAAUUCUAAUGCUAAUUUGGGAUUCUUCUACCCGUAACUGUCUAGAUGUUCCGAAUACAAGUAGUGAUAUGCGAGUAUUGACGAUGGGAUUUUGUUAAGUAUUCGUAUGUAUUGAAUGACACUAGUAGGUAAUUCAUGCUUUUGAUUUUAUCACUAGGAAUAACCUUAUCUCAUAAGACAUAAAGCACUUGUUUAAGUCACACAUAGAAAGCGUAUUUUUAGAAAACUUGACAAGUAGAAUCCGGUAGUCGAGCGCUUCCGUGUCCGGUGAAAUUAGGAGAUAUUGCGGAAUAUUUGAGCGUACUAAAUAUUCUAGGGUUAUUAGUAAUAGAUAUUUUGCAGAAACAUAGCUAUGUCGGUAAGAUUCAUGUUUUGUGGCUUAGAAAGAGUCUUUGAUCAUAUUCAUCAUCAUAUUUGCAUAUUUCUUAUACAGAAAUUGAAUCGAAAACUUUAGCUCAAACUCUCCCAUAGAAACGAACCUGCUUGUCAUUAUACAGUUAGUGUAAGAGAAGUAAGGAAUUUAUUUUUGCGAGUUCGACACCUCGUCAACCUGAUCAAGUAAGUAUAAUUAGUUACUAUACUUAAAAACAAUAUUCAAAGGUAACUGAAUAAAAAAUCCGUCUUUUUCAGAUUACCAAAGAAGCAUGUAGUCAUGUACAGUCUAAUCGAUCCACACCUGAAAGUGAGAGGCAAAAAAAAAGCAACUUCAAAAGUACAAAAUCUGGCACAACAAGCACGUCAGGCAAGAGAGAAACAAGAAAAGGAACGCCGGAAAAUGGAAAUUCAAGAAUUGCAGAAUAGGCAACCUCAACAAAGAGUAUUAAAUUGUAAUCAAUUCGCCAUUCAGAGAUCUAAGGAAAGGAUGCGAAGGUCCCAACGAGAACGUCGCGCCCAAUCGGAAAAUAAAACAUCAAUGGCACACUGCUUGGCACAACAAGCACGUCAACAAAGAGAGGGGGAAAAAAAGUUAUUCGACCAUCAAAAGAACCGUCAACGGAAAAAUGCUUGGCACAACAAGCAGCACAAAAAGCACGUAGACAAAGAGAAAAACAAGAAAAAAACUGUCUGCAAUAAUCCAUAAUGAAGAAGGUGGACAAAUAGAAUCUGAACAAGUAUAUCGACCACAAAAUGAUAAUGUGGUCCAGUGGACGAACAUGCAAUGCAAAUCCAGGGAAGAAAACAUAAAAGAAAAGAGAAUGAGCAAAUGAAAUCUUUGCAGGUAUGAAAAUCGAAACUACCAAUUAUUUGUAUUUGCAGGAUAAUCCUAAUCGCAGGAAAAAAAAUGAAAACUGUAGAACCUACUACUAUGCUAGACAGAGAGACAAAGAAUCCUGAGACUGAAGCUUCGCGAUUAGAUAAAUACACUGGAGGAGCCAACAAAUCGUAUGUGGUGAUCCGGUAUGAAAAUUUUAAAGUAGUCCAUAAAACAGUAGAAAACUAGGAAAAAAUAGACGUCAUUCUGCUCCUUAAUUAUGUUAUGGGGUUUGGGUUAUUGAGGUACGACAUCCGAAUUAAGGUGCCAUAUAUCCAAGCACGUUUUGAAUAAAGCCUAAUGGUCUAUUAUUCUCAGCAAUCUCCAGAAACCAAAAAUUCAAAUAUUAAAUUAACAUUUGAUGUCUAUUCUAACAUUGUUAGAUUUUACAUUUUAGUGGAUUGUUUACGGCUGGUGCAAAUGUCCUAAACUCUUUAGUGUAAUAGACUCUUUACUGUUAUAAAUUCAUGAG